CAUUGACUUUUUAGAAAAAAGUAUAUACACGUGUAUAUACAUCUUAGAUUGCCUGAUGAUGCUGUAGGGUAAGGUAAAAGGUAUCAGGCUUUUCUGCCCUCCCGCCAUCAGGAUAGAUGAGGGAACCCUGUGAUCCUGAAUGCAUGCCUGAUGGCGGGCACCUGAAGUGGGUACACCUGCGCUAAGACUGUGCUUUUAAGGGCGGCGUCACAGGGACGCCAGAAGCCGAGAAAGCAGCAGCAGAAGCCGAAGAGAAGCCGAGAUCACCAGAGAGCCCAGAUAGAGUAAAGGUUUGCUGGGGGCUGGGAGGCCUGCCAGCCUCCCGGCCCCCCAGCACCCCUGCCUGCCACAUACCCGCUGAACCCCAAUAAAAGGCCUGCAAAAAACCACUGAGGACUCUGACUGCUCCUUUACCCGGUCUGCAUUGGAUCAGAAAACCUGCACUGUGGCCAGUCCUGCCUCUACAGAUGCCAAUGUCCCCAGGGACCUGGAAGGACUGGCUGGAGGGAUGAGCUACUCACACAGUCGUUUACAGGAGUUCUCCCAGAAAGCAGUCAUCAAAUCUCAUCUGUGGGAAGAAAAACCUUCAAGAAAAAUGGGGUUUAAAUCUUUCUCUUUUAUCUUUUGGACUUCAAGUACAAAGACUUGAAUUAAUCACCCUCUCAGUUCAUGCAUGAUCAUCCAGGUCAUUUUUCUCUGGCGGUGCUUCAAAUGAUGCCUCCGGUGUUAACCUGGUCACUGAAGAACUAGGGAAUCCUUUCUGAUCCGGGCAUCAGCAAAUCAACAGCACACUCUUUGAUCUCUCCACCACCAUCCUCUCAUCUGCACUCUACAGUAGCCUCCUAACUGGCUGCCUUGCUUGUAUUCUUGACUUUUUCCUAUUCAUUCUCCACCUACCAGAGUGAUAGAGCUUAGAAUAGUACUGUACAGGC